AAGCCAGACUCCUACGGGAGGCAGCAGUGGGGGAUAUUGCACAAUGGGGGAAACCCUGAUGCAGCGACGCCGCGUGGGUGAAGAAGUAUUUCGGUAUGUAAAGCCCUAUCAGCAGGGAAGAAAGAAGACGGUACCUGACUAAGAAGCCCCGGCUAACUACGUGCCAGCAGCCGCGGUAAUACGUAGGGGGCGAGCGUUAUCCGGAUUCACUGGGUGUAAAGGGAGCGUAGACGGCCAUGCAAGCCAGGGGUGAAAGCCCGGGGCCCAACCCCGGGACUGCCCUUGGAACUGCAUGGCUGGAGUGCGGGAGGGGCAGGCGGAAUUCCUGGUGUAGCGGUGAAAUGCGUAGAUAUCAGGAGGAACACCGGCGGCGAAGGCGGCCUGCUGGACCGCGACUGACGUUGAGGCUCGAAAGCGUGGGGAGCGAACAGGAUUAGAUACCCGAGUAC
rnacentral:rRNA from 1 species